GGGCGAUUAGCUCAGUUGGCUAGAGCGCUUGCUCGACAAGCAAGAGGUCACUGGUCCGAGUCCAGUAUCGCCCACCA
rnacentral:tRNA from 1 species